rnacentral:rRNA from 1 species
UACAGAGGUCUCAACCGUUGUUCGGAUUCAUUGGGCGUAAAGGGUGCGUAGGCGGCGCGGUAAGUCGGGUGUGAAAUCUCGGAGCUUAACUCCGAAACUGCAUUCGAUACUGCCGUGCUUGAGGACUGGAGAGGAGACUGGAAUUUACGGUGUAGCGGAUGAAAUGCGUAGAUAAUCGUAAGGAAGACCAGUGGCGAAGGCGGGUCUCUGGACAGUUCCUGACACUGAGGCACGAAGGCCAGGGAGCAAACGGG